UACGUAGGCAGCGAGCGUUGUUCGGAGUUACUGGGCGUAAAGGGUGUGUAGGCGGUUCUCUAAGUUUGGUGUGAAAUCCCCCGGCUCAACCGGGAGGGUGCGCCGAAAACUGGAGGGCUAGAGUGCGGGAAGGGAGAGUAGAAUUCCUGGUGUAGCGGUGAAAUGCGUAGAUAUCGGGAGGAACACCAGUGGCGAAGGCGACUUCCUGGCCUGUUCUUGACGCUGAGGCGCGAAAGCUAGGGGAGCAAACGGG
rnacentral:rRNA from 1 species